CGACUGCGACUGGUUUGAUUCCCCCUCCCACCGAUCUCUUCCGUUGGCAGCGGCGGCAGCUGGGAUGGGAAUGGGAUCCACGCGGUAAUGAGUUUCGAGCCGAGACCUUUUUCCCGGUUCACCGCGGUGCUCUGUCGACGUAGUGUAGUAACAACUGCCCUGCGCCGCGCCGUGGAUGGAUGGAAGCAAGGCCGGCAAUAAGAGCAUCUACGGCGUCUACCACAAAUCCGACUCCUCAACUUACAAAACUCUAGCACAUCUCGUAAAGCUUUGUUUUU
rnacentral:lncRNA from 1 species